CGCAAAAUUAAACCAUAUAUAAUUUCUGACAUUUAAAGUGUCAAAUGUAUGACUGACAUUUAAAGUGAAACAAAACCAGCUAAAUCGAUUUCCAAUGGUGAUUUACACCGUCGGUCGCCAUAGCUAUUACCUUCACAGCUGCUCAUAACAUUCAUAUCAAAGCGACCAGCGAAACCUAGCUGCUGUUGCUAUUUCUCCCUCGCCGGCGGCUUCUCUCCCCUCGUUUAGCCAUCUGCUGCAGCGGCAAAAGGUACUAAGGGCUCAUUCCUUAUUUGGAAGAAUUUGCAAAAGUUUUCAAAGAUUUUGUUUCACUGAUAAAUAUAUUUGAAACUUCUUCAGAUUUUUUUGGUUGUGGUAUAUUUUGAAAAAAGUUUGUAAAGCACAUAUAAAUAAAGAACAUCUGCAAAGAGGCCUUUCAUGACCUUAGCUAAAAAUAAGCGCGCAGUUCCCUAUUUGUUUUCUCAUUAAGAGGAAAAUGAUUAGGAUUGAGUUUAAUUGCAAUUUACAAAUAAAAGUCUAGAGUAUGAAUUAAUAAGUUCUUUGCAUUAUUUAAAGUUUGGUUCAAAUAAAAACUACCUGUUCGGUGUUUUCACCAAAAACAAAUGCAAGACAUGUAUCUUAUAUUCACUAAUGGUUAAGUGAUAUGAAUCUUUCAUCACUCAUGAUUAAGUGAUAUGUAUCUUAAGUUGCAUAAUUUGGUAUAAACAUCAGAGUGGAAAUAAGUAUUUGUCGUAGGAAACAACAUAAGAUUUUGUUAACUAAACCCUCGAUCGGUGCUAGAUAUAUAAACCCAUAGAAAUUAAGUCGCUAGUAUUUGUUUUCUGUUAUAUUAUGGAGUUUCCAUUCAACAUUAGGCACCAUAUCUCUCAGCAAAUUUAGGAGGUUAGAUUUUCAAGCCUGUCUCCUAGGGAGUAUCCGAUAUAUAUAGAGAAGAUUUCAACCCUGGUAGACAGCUAGAAUUUUUCAUUUAUAACGAGCAUGUCAUUUAUUGAUACUUGCAAAGUCUUGUAAAUUUUGAUAAGCUUGGAUGUUAUUUAAAUAUAUGCAGAGACAAUUGAAAUAACAAGAUCAUGGCUUUCUUCCGGGCAUUCUGGAACAGUCCCGUUGGCCCUAAAACAACUCACUUCUGG
rnacentral:lncRNA from 1 species